UGUCUACUUGGAGGUUGUGCCCUUGAGGCGUGGCUUCCGGAGCUAACGCGUUAAGUAGACCGCCUGGGGAGUACGGCCGCAAGGUUAAAACUCAAAUGAAUUGACGGGGGCCCGCACAAGCGGUGGAGCAUGUGGUUUAAUUCGAUGCAACGCGAAGAACCUUACCUGGUCUUGACAUCCACAGAAGAAUCCAGAGAUGGAUUUGUGCCUUCGGGAACUGUGAGACAGGUGCUGCAUGGCUGUCGUCAGCUCGUGUUGUGAAAUGUUGGGUUAAGUCCCGCAACGAGCGCAACCCUUAUCCUUUGUUGCCAGCGGUCCGGCCGGGAACUCAAAGGAGACUGCCAGUGAUAAACUGGAGGAAGGUGGGGAUGACGUCAAGUCAUCAUGGCCCUUACGACCAGGGCUACACACGUGCUACAAUGGCGCAUACAAAGAGAAGCGACCUCGCGAGAGCAAGCGGACCUCAUAAAGUGCGUCGUAGUCCGGAUUGGAGUCUGCAACUCGACUCCAUGAAGUCGGAAUCGCUAGUAAUCGUGGAUCAGAAUGCCACGGUGAAUACGUUCCCGGGCCUUGUACACACCGCCCGUCACACCAUGGGAGUGGGUUGCAAAAGAAGUAGGUAGCUUAACCUUCGGGAGGGCGCUUACCACUUUGUGAUUCAUGACUGGGGUGAAGUCGUAACAAGGUAACCGUAGGGGAACCUGC
rnacentral:rRNA from 1 species